CUCUGCAAACGAGGCUCCAUUGCAUGGUUCACUGUAGGUUAGAUUAAAUGAAGUCAGGUGAGGGGACCUUACAUUGAUCCCUGAUUCCUAGUGAUCACCCCGUUAAGGUAAACUGUGGCUAGAGAAGGGCACUUAGCAUAUUAAUGCCAGGGAGCUCAAAUACACAUUGGUUUCUUCUGCUGAUUCUCAUCUUUGAAGCAGUAAUCGUGGCAGAUGCACCUGGCACGCGUGUUGGCUAGAAGGAUUUAAUGGCUGAUUGCUUUGCCUGCUUUACUGUAGCAGAUCUUUUGGAAGGGGCAACUCUUUUUAUUUUUUAUUUUUUGAAAAUAAUGAGUUAUCUGUAUUUAAGCUUAUGUUCACAAAAUGUGGGUUGGAAACAUUUUUAAUUGAACACAGCCAUUUUGUGUUAUGUUGAUUUCCUCAGGAUAUGAAUCAGAGAAAAAGAAAUGAAGUCUUGUCCCAGGAAGAAAGGAGAAGACUGGCAGAGGAUUUUUCACUGGCUCAUGUUUGGAGAAGAUGAAGAAGAGCCGAGCGAGGUGACUUCCGGAUGUCUGCUCCUCUGACGUGGGUGAAUGACUUGAAGAUACUGCCAGUAACAUGGAUGCAGCUUUGAAAAUAAGAUUCAGAAGACAUUAACUUUUUUCAGGUAAUGGCAUUUUUCUGCAAUUUCCCCCAAUUUUCUUUUGUUUUACUCAAGCAUUAAAGUUUUUGAGGCA